rnacentral:rRNA from 1 species
GACCACAGCCAUAUGACUCUGAAGGUGCCCAAUCUCACCUGAUCUCAGAAGCUAAGCAGGGUUACACCUAGUUAGUACUUGGAUGGGAGAAAACAGGCAAGAGGAAAGAGAGCUCAUGCCA